CAGCAGAUGCUGCAAGGCUGUCUGGUUUCACAGUGGUAGCUUCGUGUUCUCCCUGCUCCCCAUGACCAAGAUGUCUGUGCUUGCUGCUGCCUUGCCCUGUGGCCCGGUGAGUGCCUGGCCUCAGCUGGCACCAAUUGGUGCAGUGCUGUGCACGCACGGCUCGUCCCAGGUGUCCUGCCCGGAUUGAUGUGAAAAUAUGAGGCAGCAAAACUCAUCAGCGUUAAUUAGUUCAUGGUAUGUUUUCUUUCCUGGUGAUGAAGACAAAUUGCCUUUUCCAAGACUGGGCCCAUGUUAACAAUUUUGAAUGCUGCAUUUGAAGAAGGCUUCUGAGAAUAAGGCUCCUGCUGCCCACGCUGUGGCUGCACCAAGCCACAGAUCCUCCAAGGUGCUGUUGAGUGACACUGCUCGUACAUUGUUUUAUAAAAAGAGUGAGAACUGCACCCUUAUUGCUGGAGAGGCACAAUGUGGUGAGGAAGAGGGAAAUGGAGCUGGUACACAAGACAGUAAUUGGGAGAGACUGGUCAGAGACUUAUUUUUUUCAAGUAAAUAUUCUCAGCUGUGUAGAAAUACCUCUUGUGUGGACACUUGUGUUACAGAAGUGGCUGGUGGCACUUGGUGCGUGGCUUUGACCCCUAGGCAAAGGCUCGGUGGUCUGGGGGCAACUCACCUGCAGCUGGCCGCAGGAGCCAUCAUUUGUCUCCAGCAGGCCCACCUCCUGCACCUUCAGCUUUGCAGAAGAGCCGGGUGUGAGACUGGAUGUGAAUAAUAAACUGCUCGUUCUCAUCAGUACACCCACAAAAGUGGAAGUGCGCAUGUUAGCAGGAAGGCGAGAGGGAAGGUCAGCGCGGUAUGUGCUGCUGGAGGUCCUGCAGGCGGGCGUUACCGAUUCCAGUCAUGCCUCGGGCUGGCACAGCGACACAUUCCUGGGACACCUUGAAGACAGAGGAGAGAACUGAUCUGAGGUGGCCAGAGCUGGCUGUGCUGACCUUACUCCUGGCAGAUAGCCGCUCUCUCCGCUCUGGCCCAACCACGCCACCCACCAGAGAGCAACGCAAUCAAAUGUGGAGGAGGAGCACCGCCACUACGCUGCUGGGCUCAAGGGCACAAAGGACUGCACGACACUCAGGACCUGGGCAAUGCAUCAACUGACAGCAGCUUCCUGGAGCAAAGGGCUCUUCUGCCUUUGAUGCAUCUGAGCAACUCCAAACUAAUACCAGCACACGCCGAAUGGUGAAUAGACCUUUAUGUUGAUGAGGCAAAUCCUGAGGCACUUAAAAGCAAGCUGCACUGAAGUGUCCCAUGUAUCUCUGUCUUCAAAGUGCAACACACGUAUGGAAAUUGCAGAUGCUGUGGUGCUAUUUGUCUGGAAGGAGACAUUACGGAUGACAUAUGAACCUGAUUUCUCAAACAGAUGAGGUCUGUGAGAGGCUUAAGGAAACAUCUAUAAAUUAAGAUGCAGAAUAAAGUUCCCGCUGCCUUCCUUGGCCCCUCUCUCAUUGGCUCGAGAGCCAAGUGCUGGCAGCUGUGUGCUUGGCAGAGCACCAGGCAUCCUCUUCGCCCUGUACCUGACCACGGGCAGGCUUCAUGACGCAGCAGGCACAGCCCCAGCACCCAGUGCUGCUGGCAGUGCCCCCUCCCCAGCCUCCGUCCCCUGCAAGCAGGACUGGUGCUUGCUCCACGUGUUCAUCCUGAAACGCUCGGCUUGGCCCCUUCUGCGCUCUGCGGCAGCCUCCUCGCCGGGCCAUGCUUCCUAAGGAGACACAAGGUGGUGGAGUGAAACCAAAUUCCUGCUGCCAUCUUCAGCUCUGCCCUGAUAAUGCAUGAGCCGUGGAACAGCCGUGCUGGGGUAUCCCCCACCCCAAAACCUCCCGCAGCCGGACCCCAUCCUGGCUGCAGUGGGGAGAGCACCCAGCACCUUUCCAGGGACCAGGGACCUGUGCCAGACGGGCACUGCUCCCAAACCAGCGCCGAGAAGUGAGUGUCGAGAGUCCUGAGGUGUUUUUAUGACUCCUAUCCAGCACUCACGGUGACAGAGCAAAUGGGAAAGCAUCAAAAUCUGUUGAUUUUUCUUCCAAACAGAUUUUUUUGUUGUCGCAGUGGAUAUAGAUGGAUUAUUUUUAGAAAGAGUGAGAUAAAUCAAAGCCGUGAAGGUCUGUAUCAGCCAGAACAACCUGGAUCGGUCUGAACUGCAUCUUUUUCCCUGACUCGGUCAGAAAAUGCUCUCUUUAUGUGACUCCACGGACUGCAUAAGGGAAAACACACAGCAAGAAAUUACUCUUUUCUUUGUGAGCACAGACCUAGGUGUGUAAGGCCCAUGAUGGGAAGGCAGAUAAAGGGACAGCGAUAAGCUGGUUUGAUCAUGGUUACAGCAGUGCCUUUGCCAGCCCCCACUGAAGCAGCCUGUCGGGCAGCGCUGUCCCCUCGGGACCACACUGCCAGCACAGGCAGUAAGGAAGGAGGAAGAGAUAGAGGAGUUUGUCUUUGUCUUUAGGGUUUCACCCAUUUUGACUGCACACCAAGUCUGGAGCAACCCCUAAAAAGCAUCCCGGGGCACCCAGGCUGCACCCACGACAUGAGCCACUUCACAGGUUGGCUUCAAGUGGUUUCCUUUUUGUCAGCACAGUCUGCUUCACGGGAAGAAGGAAAAUCUCCAGAUUUGAGACAUAAAAAAAGGCAUCAGGCAAAGACACAAAGGUAGUUCCAUUUGUUUCAUUGCAGAUAACGGGUGGCAGCUACCAUUUCGAGAUCAAGUCUGCUGAAGACCUCCAGCUGACACCACCGGUUAUGGACGAUCUGUCAUUAACCGUACACAGUUAUUAUAUCUCUUCUUUGAUAGCUGCCACCUCAGGACUUUCCACUUGGGCUGCACACAAGUUCUUGUUUCGUAAGAUUUACAAGGAAAAAUAAAAACUAGGAAAAAUCCUGCUCUCCCAGAAGCUGUCCUGCGUGCUGGGGGGAGCAGCCCCAUCCUGGACACAGCGCUCGCCCUCUGCACAGCUCCAUCCCUCCAGCCUACUCCAGCCUUCCCGCAGCAGGAGCAGGUCUGCAGGGGAAGCUGCAGCUCUUUAACCAGAGGUUGUUCCACCUGCGCUGGGGCUGGAGUGCCCUGACACACCCUGUGCCAUGCUUAUAGAAACAGGAGUUCACGCUGCAGCAUUGUGCUUCCUCCUGCAUUUUUGGUUUUCUGUGGCUCUUGCUCUUCUGCCUGGCUGAGAUGUUUGUGUCAGCCAACCCGUGAAAAUCUGGCACUGAAAUGGGACUGUGCUGCAGUGUUUUCUCGCUAUGUAGUUCACGAUCCCUCCUGUUCCCAACAAAUCACAGUAAUCGUAAGGGCUGCCAAGCCUUGCUACAUCUUCCUGAAGCCAAAAGCAGCUCUGGGAUAUUUAUUCCACCAGUUCCAGCAGUUUGACAUGCUGUAGUUGAUGCUGUAGCCAUGAUGGAAGUGGCUCUGAAGGCAACCCCAGAAAAUCAGAGGCUGAAAUUCAGCACUCAGGAGCAUAAGACCUGCUUUAACUCGGGGGCCUGCUGCCAGCCGUGAGAACCUUGGUGGGAGACAUCAGUAGGGGGGCAAACCUGGCUGUGGCUUUGCAAGCCACAAAGCACCUGCUCCAUUUCCAUUUCACAAAAGUCAAGAUUCAUCCAGAUGUGUUUCACCAGAAACUCCAAAUUUCAGCAAGAUACCAGGAUAGACAUUGUCAGAUUUGCUCCCUCUCUGCUAAAAGCAUCCAUGAGUGAAACCAAACUGUUGCCACAGACCCUUGCAAUGUUUUUAUUUGCUUGCUAUGGUGCCACAAGCUAUAUAUAUUGGGCAGACAGAGGCUGGCCUGGUGGACAGAGGGCUGGAGAUGGCCCACAGCCCAGUGCUAAACAGAGGUGAGGAAAUACUCUCCACUAACGAACCUCAGGACUCUGUGUGGUGCUCUCGACCAGCCUCCUUGCUGCUGCUCUCAUCCUACGGAGGGGAGCAGGCAAAAUGGUUCCUUCCUCAGCAUAACCUCCCUUCCAGCCAGUCUUUCUAACGUGAAGCUAUUCAAAUUAAACCACAAAUCUUCUCGUCUGGGGAUAAUGCUCUACUGUCUUCCCAAACCUGUUCUCAUUUUCCUUUGCUGUUUUGACACCAUUAGCCUUCCAAAAGUGCUAGCGCGCACACAGAGAUAAUGCUGUCAAUUUUAGUGUGCUUGGAAAGGCACAGAGCAGCCUAAACUCAGCCAAAUGCUUGGCUUUGGCUUUUCCCUAUCAUAUAAUAUCCUUUUGUCCAUAGCUCUGCAUGGCAGCUCAUUUAUAUCAAAUUUGACCAGUUAAGGGAGAGGGAAGAGGGGUAAUCAAUAGUUAUCUUGACAAAGAGAUCUGAAGUCAAUAGACUGACGUUUUCCACCAGCUGAGCAUCAGCCUCUUUGGUUUUCUUCCCGGUGUGUGGCAGAACCGGCCUUUUAUACACUAGCAAAGCUCACAUCAUCUCGUUGGCCCGGCACAGCCUCGCUCACCCGCGGAGCCCCAAAAGCUGCCCUCCGCCUGGCCAGCUCCGGGCGCCUCGUGGCUAGGAGGAGCUGUGCACCAGGGGGCAACGUGUGCUGCCACAGCUGCAGGAGCAGGAGCCUUCCAAAAAAUAAAGGAUGCGUUGUAAUCAAGUCGUGCAUGAGGAGCUGGUCUUCGGGCACUGCUUUCUCAUACGGAUUUUCACACAGAUGGUCCCAGGUCCCGGGACUCUUCCCCAGUCCACGCAGCAGCUCACUGGGAGCAGCCACAAGCUGUGCCCCCACAGACCCCCGGAGAUCACCCCCAAAUGGAGAGGUGGGAGGAAGAAAGCAAGCAUUUCUCCCUCAAUUAGGAUUUUCUAAAUCAGCAGAUCCCUUCCGUAUGCGUGGUUUUUACAUCAAGCACGGUGUAGAAAAAAAUCAAUUUGUUUUUCUCAGUCCAAUUCCCCUCUGUCUAAUAGGUCUGUUGUAAACGCCAAUUUUACUGUCAUUUACACAGUGCUCAUUUGAGCUAUUUUAUCAAUAGUUAAAUAAGAAUACUUUAAAGUAAUGUGAUUUUUUUUAUUUGAAUUCCAAUUUAUGUUUGGAUGGUUUGACACAAAUCUAGUAAGGAAAGCUCACUAUUUUAAUAGAACAAAUUAAAUUAUAUGUUAU